UCCCUGAUGGUCCAGUGGUUAGGACUCUGCACUCCCAAUGCAGGGGGCUUGGAUUUUACCUCCGGUUGGGGGA
rnacentral:tRNA from 1 species